rnacentral:rRNA from 1 species
GACAGAGGGGGCAAGCGUUGCUCGGAAUUACUGGGCGUAAAGGGCGCGUAGGCGGGACGGCAAGUCGGUCGUGAAAUCCCUCGGCUCAACUGAGGAACGUCGAUCGAUACUGCCGUUCUUGAGGGUUGCAGAGGAGACUGGAAUUCCCGGUGUAGCGGUGAAAUGUGUAGAGAUCGGGAGGAACACCGGUGGCGAAGGCGGGUCUCUGGGCAACUCCUGACGCUGAGGCGCGAAAGCGUGGGGAGCAAACGGGAUUAGAUACCCCGGUAGUCCACGCUGUAAACGAUGACGACUAGGUGUGGGGGGGUUCAGUCCUCUCCGUGCCGCAGCUAACGCAUUAAGUCGUCCGCCUGGGGAGUACGGCCGCAAGGUUGAAACUCAAAGGAAUUGACGG